rnacentral:rRNA from 1 species
AGAGUUUGAUCAUGGCUCAGGAUGAACGCUAGCUACAGGCUUAACACAUGCAAGUCGAGGGGCAGCAUGACGAUAGCUUGCUAUUGUCGAUGGCGACCGGCGCACGGGUGAGUAACGCGUAUCCAACCUUCCCGUUGCUAGGGGAUAACCUUGCGAAAGUAAGACUAAUACCCUAUGAGGUUCUUCGCAGGCAUCUAAAGAGAACGAAAGAUUUAUCGGCAACGGAUGGGGAUGCGUCUGAUUAGGUUGUUGGCGGGGUAACGGCCCACCAAGCCUACGAUCAGUAGGGGUUCUGAGAGGAAGGUCCCCCACAUUGGAACUGAGACACGGUCCAAACUCCUACGGGAGGCAGCAGUGAGGAAUAUUGGUCAAUGGACGGAAGUCUGAACCAGCCAAGUAGCGUGCAGGAUGACGGCCCUAUGGGUUGUAAACUGCUUUUAUGUGGGAAUAAAGUGAGGGACGUGUCCCUUUUUGUAGGUACCACAUGAAUAAGGACCGGCUAAUUCCGUGCCAGCAGCCGCGGUAAUACGGAAGGUCCGGGCGUUAUCCGGAUUUAUUGGGUUUAAAGGGAGCGUAGGCCGUCUUUUAAGCGUGUUGUGAAAUACUGUCGCUCAACGACAGAGGUGCAGCGCGAACUGGGAGACUUGAGUGCGCGGAAUGCAGGCGGAAUUCGUCGUGUAGCGGUGAAAUGCUUAGAUAUGACGAAGAACUCCGAUUGCGAAGGCAGCUUGCAGUAGCGUAACUGACGCUGAAGCUCGAAAGUGCGGGUAUCGAACAGGAUUAGAUACCCUGGUAGUCCGCACGGUAAACGAUGGAUGCUCGCUGCGUGCCCUUGG